rnacentral:rRNA from 1 species
AAGCUUGCUUCUCUUGAGAGCGGCGGACGGGUGAGUAAUGCCUAGGAAUCUGCCUGGUAGUGGGGGAUAACGUUCGGAAACGGACGCUAAUACCGCAUACGUCCUACGGGAGAAAGCAGGGGACCUUCGGGCCUUGCGCUAUCAGAUGAGCCUAGGUCGGAUUAGCUAGUUGGUGAGGUAAUGGCUCACCAAGGCGACGAUCCGUAACUGGUCUGAGAGGAUGAUCAGUCACACUGGAACUGAGACACGGUCCAGACUCCUACGGGAGGCAGCAGUGGGGAAUAUUGGACAAUGGGCGAAAGCCUGAUCCAGCCAUGCCGCGUGUGUGAAGAAGGUCUUCGGAUUGUAAAGCACUUUAAGUUGGGAGGAAGGGCAGUUACCUAAUACGUGAUUGUUUUGACGUUACCGACAGAAUAAGCACCGGCUAACUCUGUGCCAGCAGCCGCGGUAAUACAGAGGGUGCAAGCGUUAAUCGGAAUUACUGGGCGUAAAGCGCGCGUA